rnacentral:rRNA from 1 species
GACGAACGCUGGCGGCGUGCUUAACACAUGCCAGUCGAGCGGAAAGGCCCUGCUUUUGUGGGGUGCUCGAGUGGCGAACGGGUGAGUAACACGUGAGUAACCUGCCCUUGACUUUGGGAUAACUUCAGGAAACUGGGGCUAAUACCGGAUAGGAGCUCCUGCUGCAUGGUGGGGGUUGGAAAGUUUCGGCGGUUGGGGAUGGACUCGCGGCUUAUCAGCUUGUUGGUGGGGUAGUGGCUUACCAAGGCUUUGACGGGUAGCCGGCCUGAGAGGGUGACCGGCCACAUUGGGACUGAGAUACGGCCCAGACUCCUACGGGAGGCAGCAGUGGGGAAUAUUGCACAAUGGGCGGAAGCCUGAUGCAGCAACGCCGCGUGCGGGAUGACGGCCUUCGGGUUGUAAACCGCUUUCGCCUGUGACGAAGCGUGAGUGACGGUAAUGGGUAAAGAAGCACCGGCUAACUACGUG